rnacentral:rRNA from 1 species
UACAUGUGGGGCAAGCGUUGUUCGGAAUUACUGGGCGUAAAGGGCUCGUAGGCGGCCAACUAAGUCAGACGUGAAAUCCCUCGGCUUAACCGGGGAACUGCGUCUGAUACUGGAUGGCUUGAGUUUGGGAGAGGGAUGCGGAAUUCCAGGUGUAGCGGUGAAAUGCGUAGAUAUCUGGAGGAACACCGGUGGCGAAGGCGGCAUCCUGGACCAACACUGACGCUGAGGAGCGAAAGCCAGGGGAGCAAACGGG